rnacentral:rRNA from 1 species
CACGUAGGGUGCGAGCGUUGUCCGGAAUUAUUGGGCGUAAAGAGCUCGUAGGCGGUGUGUCGCGUCGGCCGUGAAAACCUGCAGCUUAACUGUGGGCUUGCGGUCGAUACGGGCAUCACUGGAGUUCGGCAGGGGAGACUGGAAUUCCUGGUGUAGCGGUGAAAUGCGCAGAUAUCAGGAGGAACACCUACGGCGAAGGCAGCUCGCUGGGACGGUACUGACGCUGAGACGCGAAAGCGUGGGGAGCAAACAGG